GAUGAACGCUGGCGGCGUGCUUAACACAUGCAAGUCGAGCGAAGCACCUUGACGGAUUUCUUCGGAUUGAAGCCUUGGUGACUGAGCGGCGGACGGGUGAGUAACGCGUGGGUAACCUGCCUCAUACAGGGGGAUAACAGUUGGAAACGGCUGCUAAUACCGCAUAAGCGCACAGUACCGCAUGGUACGGUGUGAAAAGCUCCGGUGGUAUGAGAUGGACCCGCGUCUGAUUAGGUAGUUGGUGGGGUAACGGCCUACCAAGCCGACGAUCAGUAGCCGACCUGAGAGGGUGACCGGCCACAUUGGGACUGAGACACGGCCCAAACUCCUACGGGAGGCAGCAGUGGGGAAUAUUGCACAAUGGGGGAAACCCUGAUGCAGCGACGCCGCGUGAGCGAUGAAGUAUUUCGGUAUGUAAAGCUCUAUCAGCAGGGAAGAAAAUGACGGUA
rnacentral:rRNA from 1 species